AGAAGAGAUAAAAAACUAUAUCUUCUCACUCAAGACUAGGACUCUUUUCUUAAAACAUUAAUUGCCUGCUCUGAUUCAUACUACCUCUAUUUUCUUCUUCAAUUCAUAAAAGGAAAGAAUUAGGUCUAGAUUAUUUAGACAUUAUGACAUAAAUUUGGAGCUAAACCUAGAAAAUCAUAUUUUUCUUUCUAAAUUAAGAGGUCUCUCUCAAAAGAUUGGAUUUUUAAAGCAUGUUAUUGUAUGGAUGUCUUGGUAUUCUUUGAUUUUCAGGCACUAUCCUAGGGAAGACCUCAGGAGAGGACAGAACUCAUCCAAAUCUCUACUUAAAAUUCAACCCCUCCCUAAAGCAUUCAGGGAGGCACUUGAGGUUGUUGGAGCCCAGAGAGGAAGGAAGCAGGAAAAAGGGUAAAUCAACAAAAGAACAGAGCUUCUGUAUUGGUCUUUAUUUCUAAAAUGUUUCCUGCAUUGGUCAGACCACAUCUAUAUAGGAUAAGAGGAUAUUAAAAUUUUGAACUGGAAGGAAACAGAUUAUCUACAUCAAUCUUAUUUUAAAGACAUGGAUAAGAAUCUUUUGAGCCAACAACAUCCUACUGGACCACGUGCGUGUGCUCUGCUUGGACAUGCCUAGAGAUGCCCAGGAUUAUAUGAUUUGCCAUCCAAGAAUACAUCAGAUCCCAAAGUGAACCGGGCAGAGAAUGUUAGAAUGCAAAUUUCCCUUAGGGCAUGGACUGUUAUCCCAUCUAGAAGCUUUGCAGAAGAAUCAGAGGAUGGAGGACACUGAAUAGAAGACAAACCAAUGAGCCUAGACCUUAUGAAGAGGCAUUAGUGUAUUUAAAUGGUAGAAUUCCCAUGUGAAAGAAAUUGGGGAUUCUGCUUCCAGCACUAGUAAUGAAGUAUGAAAGUGCCUUGGGGAGAUUAGAAGCAUGUGCAGAUGUCCCCUAACUAAUUCCAGUCUGCUAAUCAUGUGGAGGAGUUUCUUUGAUUAGCUGCAGAACCAUAUCUUAGGGUACACCUAAACAGCAUUUGGCUGACCAGAACUUCAUCCUUCUAUUCAACCUGUUGGUGUUCUAAUGGGUGAAGAGAAACACUGAUGUAAGAUAAGAGGUCUUGGGUCCUCCUCAUAUAAGGCUCACAUGUGACCUGUGAGUAUGGGCUUUGAUUCUUUGUCUUACAUUUGUCCUUUCAUUUUAAUAAAUGAGUUUGGAGGCUAUGAUUUUGUGAGUUUUAAAAGGUCUGGGGAUGGGAUAUGUGAUGGAUUUUGCAGCUAUCUAGUCUAGCUUUGAUAUCUAUGAGAGUGAGAACAGGACUUUGCCUUUCAAA